UGAAAUCCCAGUGAGGAACUCACCUGAAGUGAACAUUCCAUAUAGAAAUCUUUCAAAUGGAUGACUAUAAACUGAAGCAUUUAAAGAGCUGUGAAGUUUGCUAAAACGUGUUUUGAUACAGUAAUAUAUAAAUAUAAAUAAAUAUAUAUGAAGAAUUUGUGUUUUUAAAUGGUGACAGAAGAGCUAGAAAGACUCUGUUUCUGACUGUUCCCAACAGUGUAUGUUGUUAUCACUACAGUUGGAGUGGUUAGUUUAUAAUCACCUUCUGCACCACACCAGUUAGAACACAAUGCUGAACAGAUCUGCCUUAAAGAAAGAAAGAAAGAACUGUUGCUCAGUGUUGUUUCUCAGCUGAUAUGUGUAUGCUACAAACCAGCCUUCCAGUUGCCGAAUGAAAACUUUCCUGUGAUUAUAUUAUUUAUAAUUGGCAGUGUUUCCUCAAGAAGAAUAAGAAGGGCACUUACCCCAAAGUGCAGUAAUUAACCACAUUUCCAAUUAUUCCGAGCCUUGACUCCAUUAGAUACUUAGUUCUAAAGAUAAUCAACCCGAUACCAAGUCCCCAUUGUCCCCUUUCCAAAUGUUUGACCCUGAAUACCAUUUUUCACUAUUAAUGCUAAUUUACUCAAAGCAUUGGCAGCAUUCUGUAAAUCAUGCAUUUUCAAAUAUGUUGUUCCCCGAUUCACCCAUUGUUAAUUGUAGGUAACAAUUAAAUUUAAUGCUGUUUGGACAAGCUUUUCUUGUAUUUGGUACCUCUCUCAGGAAUUAUUAUUUAGACGUCUUUAUCAACUAUAUAAUUGUUCCUUUUAUUUUCCAUCCUGUGGAGAUGAGACUUGUUUGUGCCUUUCAUAGCUUGUUUAAAGCACUUUUAAAAUUAAUUUUUAUGUCUGAUGUGGCAGGUAACACUGGCAAGUAUUUUUGAAUGCAGCUUUUGGCCAGAAUUAAUAUAAAGCACGAUCCAGUAAAGGGUACUUAAACAAUCUAAAAUGUCAUAUAAUUAACAGCAUAUUUCCUGCUGACUUCUUAUUUGAGGAUAACCUUGCCAGCAGUAAUUCCAACAGAACAGAACCCCAUUCAGACUGCAGAAGCAACCUGUAUCACUCUAAUGAAACUGGCUGUUUAAAUAGAGUUUCUGAAAGGAUAGAACCUUACCUUGUUUUGGUCAUCAUCAAUACUGAAUGUAGAACAGAAUAUUUUACAGAUUUCCCAUAAAAUUAUUUUUAAUUGUUAAUGAUUUAUAUUUCAUUAUGCUAAUUUUGCCUGAUUAGUACACCGUUGAGUCUAUAGCUUGGCUAAAUAAUAAAUAUAAAUAAUUUAUACUUACUGUGCCAAAACCACAACCUUUAUAGAUGAUAUACUUGACAGGAUGUUUGUUUCAUUGGCUAGUAUGGAUCACUCUGUCCCUGUAAUGAAAAUACAAAGCCAAAUUUACAAAUUUAAUUUGGUUUAGGUUCUUACGGUGGCGCCAUCUACCAACAUCCUAGGCUUCCUAGUCUGUGUUGUACACAGCUCUUUACCGUGGUUUGGAUAUGAAUUUGUCUCUAUUCCAUAUGUGCUUCUCUUCUCUACUAGCAGAGUAAAUGAUUUAUCCUAGUCAUCCAAAACCCUUAACAUUUACUCAUAGGAAAUGAGCGCUGCAGUGAAGCCGGGCGCUAAAGCCAAGCAGCCUGGCUUUUAAGUUCCUCCUCCAUUACUGUUCAUGUAACCUUGAACUUAAUUUCUCUGUGCCUCCAUUUCCUCAACUAUAAAUUAGGAAUAAUGAUACUACCUACCUCACAAGAUUUUAAUGAGGAUUAUAGAAAUGAAUAUACAUAAGGUUAUUAGAGCACUGUCUGGCUCAGAAAAGGGCAUGAUUUUAAGUAUAAGGUUUUAUUCUGUUACCUUGGAGUAUAAAUAAUUUAAUGUAGAUAAAUGAAAUUAUCAAAUCAGAUCUGAAGGAAAUGUCUUGCACAUUUCCUAUAAUACGGAAUAUGUGGUAUUCAUCUAGUGCCUGCUGUAUGCCAGAUAUUGCUCUUUACCUGUACACUUGUGUUAAUCCUCAUAAAUUGGGUGUUAGUCCCAUACUAUAGGUGAGGAGACUGAGGCUAUUCAAGUAAUGUUUCCACUGUCACAAAGCUAGUAAGUAAGAAGGCUGGGAUCUAUAAUCAAAACCUGUGUUUUGUUUGUAUUAUUGUUAGCCUUAGGGUUAGUCGUAUGAAUAUAUGAAUAUGUGGAAUAAUUACACACAUGUAUGAAUAGUACGUAACUUCUGGAACUACUGGCCAGUAAUAGUCAAAAUUGGUCAAACAGCUAAAUGGGUCUGUUUAUUGUUAAGUUGUGACUCUUGUACUCCAGCUAUAAGUUUGUUGAGGUGGAGGGCUCAAGGUUGGAUUUUUAGCAUGGGGCCCUAGAGUAUGCAUUCUUCCCAGAUACCUUCUAGUGAUUAAAGUAGCAUUGCUGAGAGCUUGUUGGAGCUUGUGCUUGUCUUCACCCCAGCCUGGACCUGUGUCAGAAACUCCAAGACAGGGCCUAGCACUUUGGUUUGAAAAAAUAAUUUUACCAAUCCUCUGCUGAGAACCAUUGCCGGUUUACCUACAUGAUUUUGGUGCAAAUCGUCUUUGGAACACACUCAGGAUUUCUGCCCAGGAGAGAGGCAUUUUUCAAAGACUCUGAAACAUGUUUUAAAUUAGUGUGGUCCAGGAUCAUACUAUAUUAAAAAUAAAAUCUUGUAAAGUUU
rnacentral:lncRNA from 1 species